rnacentral:rRNA from 1 species
AUUGAACGUGGCGGCAGGCCUUUAGACAUGCAAGUCGAACGGUAACAGCAGAGCUUGCUCUGGCUGACGAGUGGCGGACGGGUGAGUAACGCGUAGGAAUCUACCCAGUAGCGGGGGAUAGCCCGGGGAAACCCGGAAUAAUACCGCAUACGCCCCACGGGGGAAAGAGGGCCUCUUCUUGAAAGCUCUCACUAUUGGAGGAGCCUGCGUUGGAUUAGCUAGUUGGUGGGGUAAAGGCCUACCAAGGCGACGAUCCAUAGCUGGUCUGAGAGGACGAUCAGCCACACUGGAACUGAGACACGGUCCAGACUCCUACGGGAGGCAGCAGUCAGGAAUAUUGUGCAAUGGGGGAAACCCUGACACAGCCAUGCCGCGUGUGUGAAGAAGGCCUUAGGGUUGUAAAGCACUUUCAGUAGGGAGGAACUAGCAGCGUUAAUACCGCUGUGAGAUGACGUUACCUACAGAAGAAGAUCCGGCUAACUCCGUGCCAGCAGCCGCGGUAAUACGGAGGGAUCGAACGUUAAUCGGAAUUACUGGGCGUAAAGCGCGCGUAGGUGGUUUGUUAAGUGGGAUGUGAAAGCCCCGGGCUCAACCUGGGAACUGCAUUCCAAACUGACAAACUAGAGUACGAUAGAGGGGGGUAGAAUUCAGAGUGUAGCGGUGAAAUGCGUAGAUAUUCUGAGGAAUACCGGUGGCGAAGGCGGCCCCCUGGAUUGAUACUGACACUGAGG